rnacentral:lncRNA from 1 species
GAGGGAAAAAGUUGGACUUUUACCAAGUAUCUUAGGAAGUGAUCUAUCUUUGCCAUGCUUUAGUGCGCAGUGGAAAAUGAAGAACUUGUCCAGCAUCUGGGGGCUGCUAAGGAUGCCCAGCGGCAGCUCACAGCCGAGGUGAGCACCUCUCCCUCAUUCCUUCAGUGCCUCUGAUUGCAGCCAAGGUGGAUUAGCCUUCCCGGACAGCUUUAGUCACGUCCAUCGCAACUACUGUUUUUAUUUUGAAUUUCAUUUCAUUUUUAUUCGUGGGAGAGUAAACCCAGUUGCACCUUGGUUCUGUGCCCACUGACACUGU